rnacentral:rRNA from 1 species
GCAUAUCAAUAAGCGGAGGAAAAGAAACCAACCGGGAUUGCCCCAGUAACGGCGAGUGAAGCGGCAAGAGCUCAAAUUUGAAAUCUGGCCCCUCCGGGGUCCGAGUUGUAAUUUGCAGAGGAUGCUUCGGGUGCGGCCCCUGUCUAAGUGCCCUGGAACGGGCCGUCAGAGAGGGUGAGAGCCCCGUCUUGGGCAGGGUGCCCGCGCCCGUGUGAAGCUCCUUCGACGAGUCGAGUUGUUUGGGAAUGCAGCUCUAAAUGGGUGGUAAAUUUCAUCUAAAGCUAAAUACCGGCCGGAGACCGAUAGCGCACAAGUAGAGUGAUCGAAAGAUGAAAAGCACUUUGAAAAGAGAGUUAAACAGCACGUGAAAUUGUUGAAAGGGAAGCGCUUGCGACCAGACUCGCCCCCGGGGUUCAGCCGGCAUUCGUGCCGGUGUACUUCCCCGGGGGCGGGCCAGCGUCGGUUUGGGCGGCCGGUCAAAGGCCCCGGGAAUGUGUCGCCCUCCGGGGCGUCUUAUAGCCCGGGGUGCAAUGCGGCCAGCCCGGACCGAGGAACGC